rnacentral:misc_RNA from 1 species
UACCCCUCAAGCCUCGCUUGGUGUUGGGGCCUGCUGUGACCGGCAGCCCUUAAAAUCAGUGGCGGUGCCCUCUGGCCCUGAGCGCAGUAAUACUUCUCUCGCUACAGGGUCCGGGAGGUGCUUGCCAGUAACCCCUAACUUUCUCU